rnacentral:rRNA from 1 species
UGCCAGCCGCCGCGGUAAUACGUAGGGUGCAAGCGUUAAUCGGAAUUACUGGGCGUAAAGCGUGCGCAGGCGGCACUACAAGACAGAUGUGAAAUCCCCGGGCUCAACCUGGGAACUGCAUUUGUGACUGUAGAGCUAGAGUGUGUCAGAGGGGGGUGGAAUUCCACGUGUAGCAGUGAAAUGCGUAGAGAUGUGGAGGAACACCGAUGGCGAAGGCAGCCCCCUGGGAUAACACUGACGCUCAGGCACGAAAGCGUGGGGAGCAAACAGGAUUAGAUA